rnacentral:tRNA from 1 species
CCUGGUCGAAGAUUUCAAGGAGAAGGCCCGCCGUUCGCCCCGGCGGAUCGUCUUUCCGGAGGCCGGGGACGAACGGAUCCUGGCCGCCGCCCUGGA